GUAACAAGGUUUCCGUAGGUGAACCUGCGGAAGGAUCAUUAAUGAUUAACUGUCUGUCGAGCUUGCUCACAGACUUAUCAUAUCCAUAACACCUGUGCACUUGUCGGAUGGCUUAGUGAAGACCGCAAGGUUGGAUCUAUCCAUCUACUUUACAUAACAAUUUAGUAACAAAUGUAGUCUUAUUAUAACAUAAUAAAACUUUCAACAACGGAUCUCUUGGCUCUCGCAUCGAUGAAGAACGCAGCGAAAUGCGAUAAGUAAUGUGAAUUGCAGAAUUCAGUGAAUCAUCGAAUCUUUGAACGCACCUUGCGCUCCCUGGUAUUCCGGGGAGCAUGCCUGUUUGAGUGUCAUGAAAACCCUCAACCUUAGAUUGGUUAACACCUUUCUUUGGCUUGGAUUUGGACGUUUGCCGAUGAUAAGUCGGCUCGUCUUAAAAGUAAUAGCUGGAUCUGUCUCGCGACAUGGUUUGACUUGGCGUAAUAAGUAUUUCGCUAAGGACAUCUUCGGAUGGCCGCGUUGCAAGACUAAAGACCGCUUUCUAAUCCAUUGAUCUUCGGAUUAAUAUUCUUGACAUCUGGCCUCAAAUCAGGUAGGACUACCCGCUGAACUUAAGCAUAUCAAU
rnacentral:misc_RNA from 1 species